UGGCGGCCGUAGCGCGGUGGUCCCACCUGACCCCAUGCCGAACUCAGAAGUGAAACGCCGUAGCGCCGAUGGUAGUAUGGGGUCUCCCCAUGCGAGAGUAGGGAACUGCCA
rnacentral:rRNA from 1 species